rnacentral:rRNA from 1 species
ACGGAAGGCAGCAGUGGGGAAUAUUGCACAAUGGGGGAAACCUUGAUGCAGCGACGCCGCGUGAGCGAUGAAGUAUUUCGGUAUGUAAAGCUCUAUCAGCAGGGAAGAUAAUGACGGUACCUGACUAAGAAGCCCCGGCUAACUACGUGCCAGCAGCCGCGGUAAUACGUAGGGGGCAAGCGUUAUCCGGAUUUACUGGGUGUAAAGGGAGCGCAGGCGGUUUUUAAGUCUGAUGUGAAAGCCCGCGGCUCAACUGCGGGACUGCAUUGGAAACUGGAGAACUAGAGUGUCGGAGGGGCAAGUGGAAUUCCUAGUGUAGCGGUGAAAUGCGUAGAUAUUAGGAGGAACACCAGUGGCGAAGGCGGCUUGCUGGACGAUAACUGACGCUGAGGCUCGAAAGCGUGGGGAGCAAACAGGAUUAGAUACCCUGGUA